AGUGAACGCUGGCGGUAGGCCUAACACAUGCAAGUCGAACGGCAGCACAGUAAGAGCUUGCUCUUACGGGUGGCGAGUGGCGGACGGGUGAGGAAUACAUCGGAAUCUACUUUUUCGUGGGGGAUAACGUAGGGAAACUUACGCUAAUACCGCAUACGACCUACGGGUGAAAGCAGGGGAUCUUCGGACCUUGCGCGAUUGAAUGAGCCGAUGUCGGAUUAGCUAGUUGGCGGGGUAAAGGCCCACCAAGGCGACGAUCCGUAGCUGGUCUGAGAGGAUGAUCAGCCACACUGGAACUGAGACACGGUCCAGACUCCUAUGGGAGGCAGCAGUGGGGAAUAUUGGACAAUGGGCGCAAGCCUGAUCUAGCCAUACCGCGUGGGUGAAGAAGGCCUUCGGGUUGUAAAGCCCUUUUGUUGGGAAAGAAAAGCAGCAGGUUAAUACCCCGCUGUUCUGACGGUACCCAAAGAAUAAGCACCGGCUAACUUCGUG
rnacentral:rRNA from 1 species